rnacentral:rRNA from 1 species
UUAUUGAAAUAAACCUGAUAAGUUGUUGCUGGCUCUCUAGAGAGCAUGUGCACGCUUGUCAUCUUUAUAUCUUCACCUGUGCACCUUUUGUAGACCUGAGUAUCUUUCUGAAUGCUUUAUUUAUUUAGCAUUCAGGAUUGAGGAUUGACUUUGUUGUCUCUCCUUGUAUUUCUCAGGUCUAUGUUUCUUCAUAUACCCUAAUGUAUGUCUAUAGAAUGUAUAAUUAAUGGGCCUUUGUGCCUAUAAACCUAUACAACUUUCAGCAACGGAUCUCUUGGCUCUCGCAUCGAUGAAGAACGCAGCGAAAUGCGAUAAGUAAUGUGAAUUGCAGAAUUCAGUGAAUCAUCGAAUCUUUGAACGCACCUUGCGCUCCUUGGUAUUCCGAGGAGCAUGCCUGUUUGAGUGUCAUUAAUAUUAUCAACCUCUUUUUGGUUGGAUGUGGGUUUGCUGGUCUCUUGAGAUCAGCUCUCCUUAAAUGCAUUAGCGGACAACAUUUUGCCAACUGUUUAUUGGUGUGAUAAUUAUCUACGCCAUUGACUGUGAAGCAAGGUUCUGCUUCUAAUAGUCCAUUGACUUGGACAAAUUUCUUUUUUAUUAAUGUGGCCUCAAAUCAGGUAGGACUACCCGCUGAACUUAAGCAUAUCAAUAAGCGGAGGAAAAGAAACUAACAAGGAUUCCCCUAGUAACUGCGAGUGAAGCGGGAAAAGCUCAAAUUUAAAAUCUGGCAGUCUUUGGCUGUCCGAGUUGUAAUCUAGAGAAGCAUUAUCCGCGCUGGACCGUGUACAAGUCUCCUGGAAUGGAGCGUCAUAGAGGGUGAGAAUCCCGUCUUUGACACGGACUGCCAGGGCUUUUGUGAUGUGCUCUCAAAGAGUCGAGUUGUUUGGGAAUGCAGCUCAAAAUGGGUGGUAAAUUCCAUCUAAAGCUAAAUAUUGGCGAGAGACCGAUAGCGAACAAGUACCGUGAGGGAAAGAUGAAAAGAACUUUGGAAAGAGAGUUAAACAGUACGUGAAAUUGCUGAAAGGGAAACGCUUGAAGUCAGUCGCGUUGUCCAGGGAUCAACUCUUGCUUUUGCUUGGUGUACUUUCUGGUUAACGGGUCAGCAUCAAUUUUGACUAUUGGAAAAAGAUCAAGGGAAUGUGACAUCUUCGGAUGUGUUAUAGCCCUUGGUUGUAUACAAUAGUUGGGAUUGAGGAACUCAGCACGCCGCAAGGCCGAGUUUUUAACUACGUACGUGCUUAGGAUGCUGGCAUAAUGGCUUUAAUCGACCCGUCUUG